UACAGAGGUCUCAAGCGUUGUUCGGAUUCAUUGGGCGUAAAGGGUGCGUAGGCGGGUCUUUAAGUCAGGGGUGAAAGGUUCAGUGCUUAACGCGAACAGUGCCUUGGAGACUGGAUGACUUGAGUUUGGGAGAGGGUAGUGGAAUGGCUGGUGUAGCGGUGAAAUGCGUAGAUAUCAGUCGGAACACCAAUGGCGAAGGCAGCUACCUGGCCUAAAACUGACGCUGAGGUGCGAAAGCGUGGGGAGCGAACGGG
rnacentral:rRNA from 1 species